rnacentral:tRNA from 1 species
GGAGCUGUGGCGUAGUGGGUUUACGCCCUGGCCUGCAGUGCCAGCAUCCCAUAUGGGUGUUGGUUCUAGUCCUGGCUGCUCUA